UACAGAGGGUGCGAGCGUUAAUCGGAAUUACUGGGCGUAAAGCGCGCGUAGGCGGCUUGCAAGUCGGGUGUGAAAUCCCCAGGCUUAACCUGGGAACUGCAUUCGAGACUGCAUUGCUAGAGUAUGGGAGAGGGAAGUGGAAUUUCCGGUGUAGCGGUGAAAUGCGUAGAUAUCGGAAGGAACAUCAGUGGACGAAAGCGACUUCCUGGACCAAUACUGACGCUCAGUGAUGCGGAAAGCGUGGGGAGCAAACAGG
rnacentral:rRNA from 1 species